GAUGAAGAACGUAGUGAAAUGCGAUAAGUAGUGUGAAUUGCAGAACUCAGUGAAUCAUCGAAUCUUUGAACGCACAUUGCGCCCCUUGGUAUUCCAUGGGGCAUGCCUGUUCGAGCGUCAUUUGUACCUUCAAGCUCUGCUUGGUGUUGGGUGUUUGUCUCGCCUCUGCGUGUAGACUCGCCUCAAAAUAAUUGGCAGCCGGCGUAUUGAUUUCGGAGCGCAGUACAUCUCGCGCUUUGCACUCAUAACGACGACGUCCAAAAGUACAUUUUUACACUCUUGACCUCGGAUCAGGUAGGGAUACCCGCUGAACUUAAGCAUAUCAAUAAGCGGAGGA
rnacentral:misc_RNA from 1 species